ACAAACGCAAUCAAUCGAAUUCCCCCAAAUUUCAAACCCUAGAAUUUUCGUUUUCGUUCCCAAUCUCCCAACAAAAUUCUGAUGGCUCCCAAGGCAGAGAAGAAGCCCGCCGAGAAGAAACCAGCGGAAGAAAAGAAGGCCGUGGCCGAGAAAGCACCAGCGGAGAAGAAGCCAAAGGCCGGGAAGAAAUUGCCUAAAGAAGCAGGCGCUGCCGCCGGAGACAAGAAAAAGAAGAGAUCCAAGAAGAGCGUCGAGACCUACAAGAUUUACAUAUUCAAGGUGUUGAAACAGGUGCAUCCUGAUAUCGGAAUCUCAAGCAAAGCCAUGGGAAUCGUGAACAGUUUCAUCAACGAUAUAUUUGAGAAGCUCGCCCAGGAGAGUUCGAGGCUUGCAAGGUACAACAAGAAGCCGACAAUCACGUCAAGGGAAAUUCAAACCGCCGUGAGGCUUGUACUUCCCGGUGAAUUGGCCAAGCACGCCGUGUCGGAAGGCACAAAAGCGGUCACAAAAUUCACCAGCUCUUGAAUAGCUUUUCAUUGAAACAUGGCAGCGUUUGGGUUUCUCAACUUUUAUCAUCAUGCAUUAGCGAUCAAAUGUCGUUUUUCUUUUUGUCUUUAGGAGGAAUAUAAGUUUGUAAAUUUGGGUUAUCUUCAUCCGAUUUGUGUUUUUACAUUAUCUGUGUAAUGAAAUGCGAAUUUAAGAUAUCGCAACAUUCAAUCUAUAAUGGCAUAUCUUUUGUAAAGAACAUUUGACUCAUACAAAUAUCAUCACUUGUUUAGCCAUUAUUACUCAUGUAUAGGUUUGUUUUGGGUAAUUGGGUCGGAUUAGUAAGAAACAAAACACCUGUUUACUUUGAAGUUUGAAUCAAUUUCUGUUCUUAAGAAACACACUUUUACAACCAACAUAACUGCACUUGAUCUCUAACUAAGGAAGUUAAUUCAUGUCAAAAACCAGACCUGGCAUUGUUGAUGUUAUUUCUUGUUUGCAUAAUUGAUCCGAAUAUUUCUACCAUCCAGUAGCUGAAAAUAAGCAUUACAAACCAAUAAAAUGAAUAUGAAAUGAUGUUUUGGUUACAUUAGAAGAAAAGGUUUUUGUUUAUGAUUCUAAUGUUUUUUUUUUUACCUGACCAUGCAUUUCUGCUAAGGCUUUGGUGGCAGACUCCUCAGAAACAAAAUGCACAAAUCCAUAUCCUUUUGAUUUCCCACUCUUGUGAUCGCAUAUAACCUUAACUGCAAUGCAAUCAAUCAUGGAAGUUAAAACUUUUUAUAAGAAGAUCAGACAGACACACAGCAGCUAGUGAGUUGUGAUCAUGUGUGUACCUUCAAUUAAUUCUCCAUGCUGCUCAAAUGCAUCUUUUAACACUGGUUCAUGUGUAUCAUACGAAAGCCCUGUGUGCAUACAUAUACUUUUAUGACAAAAUUGCAAAAAUGGUCCCUGUGGUAUGCAAAAUUUUGGGGUUUUAGUCCAAACAGUGACUUUUUUGGAUUGGUGGUCCUUUUGACCAUGUUUGCUUGUGGUUUUGGUCCCUCGGAAAACUGAAAAGACUAAAAUGCCCUUUCUGAUAUAUUUUUUGUAUUUUUUUUGUUUAAUUUAAAAGAAAAAGAAAAUAAAUAACUAAUUUGGUCUCUCUCUCUCUCUCUCUCUCUCUCUCUCACACACACACACACACAUAACACUAAACCCAAAUAUCCAGCUACUGCUAUAGCAAAUCUCGAUCCCUCCAGUUCGUAUCUCACCGGCCGAAGGAAAAGACCGACCAACUUGACACCGACCACCACCUCCCUCCGCCCUCUUCUGUCGAGUCACUCCAGCAAUCACCGAUGCCACUUUUUCCCUCCUUUGUCUUCGCCGGUAGAAGACCAAACAAAAGCAUCAAAGGCUACCGGAGCUCCUCCCUCCGCCACCCACUGCCUCUUUCCCAUCGAGAAACACCACCACCACCAACGAUGGUGUUGCUGUUGCUGGGACCACCAUGAAACCACCUCCCUCCUUGUUUUUUUCUGUUGAUCGGAGCAACCCAUUGGUAAUCGUAUUGCUUUUUUGAGAGAUGAAGACUGGUAGAGAGACUGGGACAAAUCAAUUGAAACUUAUCCUCCUUCAAUCACCCGAACUUGUCGGAAUAAAAUGAUUAUGGAUAAUCGAUUGAAGCUUCUCUAUUAUUUCUCAAUCAUAAUCAUCAAACCAUUUUAAUCCACAUCUGCAAUGUCUGUAUUUACCCAAAAUCAGAAUCGUAUCUCUCUGUCGAUCAAACGCCUCAAAUCUCUAACAUUUUUCUUCAAUUUCAAUUCGCCGGCGGCCGACCUCCUUCUUCCGACCUCCUCCUUCAAUUUCAAUUUGACGAGUUUUGGUGUGUGUUCAAUCNNNNNNNNNNNNNNNNNNNNNNNNNNNNNNNNNNNNNNNNNNNNNNNNNNNNNNNNNNNNNNNNNNNNNNNNNNNNNNNNNNNNNNNNNNNNNNNNNNNNUGAAAAAAUGCAAACCACAGGGACUAUUUUUGCAGUUUUGUCUACUUUUAUUACCAUGAGUCAAUAACCCAAGGCUACUAUAAACAUGAUGAGUUCUUAAAUUGUCUAGGGUUUAGAAUGAAGAAGAACAAAUUCACGAAAAGCAAAAAAAUUAGGAGUGAAUUUGAGAAAUAUAGCAAACAUCAAAAGAUGCAAAGAAAAUAUAUUUUCUUUUUCUUUUUGUGAAUUCGUUCAUCUGAAUAGAGAAAAAGCGGGAAGAGAUACCUCCGACAAACAGUUUGCUAGAGGAGUGACGACAUAACAUCCAUCUGAAUCUGAAUAUUGGAGAUGAAGAAAACCGAUAAACCCCAUUUGCCCACAUAUUUGUUUUGCUGUUUUCAACAAUAUGUAUGUGUUAUGCUUGAUGAUGACAAUGACCAUUUUAACCUUUGGAUUUAAUUCUAGGUCUUUAUUGCUCAAGACUCGAACUCAAACAAAUGACAAGUCAAUUCAAGAACAAUUUCACCAUACUACAUUUAAAAGUUGUCAUUGCUGCAUCUAUAUAAGAAGUUCAUCACUCUCUUUGAUUCCUUGUACCAAUUUAUAUGAAUUCCAAUUACAAUUGAAUGUAGUGAAACUAUGAGUAUGAUCAUUUUAGUGAAAAGAAGUCAUAAAUUUGUUGGUUCUAACUUUUGGAAAGAUCAUGAAUUACUACAAGAUGAUGUUUCUUCAAAAGGAUUUGAAAAGACCUAAUUUUUGCCACCAAUAACUGCUAUAGUUGUCUUCACUGACAUCUGUAUGAUUGACCCACAAUAUUGUGGUUUUCAUCAUAGACCAUUAAAAAAGUUUACUCUUUUGAUUCAUCAUUGCAGUAGAUGUCCUGAAUAUUAAUUCCGAAAAUAAAAUACAGAGGGAACAAUCAGCUUACAUAUGAACUUAAUUUCUUGAGGUUGAAUCUCCAACAGCUCCGUGUUCAUCUUUCCAUCGAAAAUUCAAACAUAAUCAGAUAGAUAUAUCAAAAGCCCGGUCCGGGAAUCAGAAAUUGCAAUCAUACCAAAACUCCAGUCAAUGUAAGAACCACGAAACACACACUAAAAACUGUGAGCUGUGAUAGAGUAAUACUAGCUCUGAUUUGAUCCAAUAUUUACCAAAACCAGUUGAAAUUUCGAAGAAAACCCUAAUUAACCACUAAAAUCGUCCUGUGUUUCAAUUUACGGACGAAAAAUACGGAAACAGAGCAUAGUAGGGAAAAGCUAAUUAAAGAGCGCAUUAAGCUAAUAAGAAUCACCUGAAAGAGCAGGAAAUAGAACGAAUUAGGAGACGAUUACAGAGGCGAUGAUAGUAAGGGUUGCUGACGGGAGUCGUUGGGUGCUGUCGCCAAAGAUGAUGGUGAGGGUUGGCUGAUGUGCUGUGAUGGAAGGAGAAAGGACAUAUGCGAUUGUAGAGGGCAAAGAUGGGUAUUUCAACCAUUCAGCGUCCACCCUGCAGGCCUCCUGCAUCCAUGAAAUAUGAAUAAAGGUUGGCAAACCGGUUUUCAUUCACAUACGGGAUCGGUUUUUAAACCGGUUUGUAUCACGGGUUACCUUUAGAAAAACCGAUCCUAUACGAACCGGGUCAAAUCUGUUUCACAAAAUUACAAAAAUGGUCCCUGUGGUUUACCAAAAAUCACAAAUUCAGUCCCUGUUAAUUUUUUUUGAUGCAAAUGGUCCUUAUGGUUUGCGAAACUUGCAAAGUUGGCCUUUUUUACUAACACCGUUAGUACAACGCCGUUGGGGUCAAAAUCUGUAAGGGCAUUUUCGUCUUUUCAAGUAUAGAAGGAUUGAAUUCGUGACUGUUGGGCGUGUCAAACCAAACAAAUAAAGGGUACAAAUGACUCCUUAAACACUACUAUUAUGCACUAAUAAUGUAGUACAAGGUAAGUAUGGUCGAUCCACAGAGACACGGGACAAGUGUUUAUACCUUUUUGCGUAAGAUACAAAAAUGGUCACAGAAUGGGGGGAAUUUAUAAGCAACGAUUUAAACUAUACAAUAAAACAAUAAGUAAAUGAUUGAUUUAAUGAAGUAGAUUCAGGAUUUGUAAGGACUCCAACUCCAUGCAAGACAAAUUAGCAAUGUGAUUCCAAUGAUGAAAUGAUAUUUGUUCAAUUAUAUCUAAAUUGGUACAUGGAAAUGCUAACAAGAUCUAGCACCUCCCAUUCACCACAUUGAUCUACCAAAAUAAGUUCUUUGAUUAAUCCUAACCUUACCAAUCUAAUCUAAACAAGCUCUUAGAAUUAGGUUGAAAGAUUGCAUUAAACUUUAUGUGAAUGUUCCCAACAACACUCAAUACUCCUCAUAAGCUCGGGAGCAUAAGAAUGUGUGAAUAAGAUUUACACUAAAUUCAUUCAAUAAAAAUCAGUUUAGUGUUUGUUACCUAGUCCAAUUUACAAAACAAUUACGGAUUUUGCAAUUAGAUAACUUGAAUGAUCUAACCCUAAUUCAAAUGGCCAAUAAGAAUCACAAUUAGAAUCAAACAUUCACAACUAGAUUGAAAUUAAAAGAAAACAUCAAGUCAUAUGAUUGAAAUCACAACUAGAAGUCAAGACAUAAAGUUGGAGAAUUUAGAGUUCUAGCCACUCAUGACUAGAACAAGAUCACAAAUCUAGAAAAUGAAAAUAAAGUUCUUACAAAAUGAAAUCAAAUGUUCCCAAGUGUUAAUCAACUUCAAAAUCCUCAAGAAAUUCGUCUUCUCUACUCCAAAAGUCGACCCCCCUAAGUAAAAAGUCGGUUCCCCUUUUAAGAAUGGUGAAAAACUGCUUUAAAACUCACGUUUACGUUUACAUGGCCCGCGUAAAUUAACACUGUCAUUUACACGGCCCGCGUAAACGCAAAAAUAUACUGCGCAGAAAUCUACGUUUACACGGCCCGUGUAAACGCAAGGCUUGCAUUUACACGGCCGUGUAAAUCUCUGUAAAACCAAAAUCUUCAUUUUUUUGAUAUCUUGCUCCUCGGUGCUCCGCAAGUCCUGAAAUUUUGUUUGCAACUUUUAUUUACCUCCUCCAACAAUAUCCUGCCUCCAAAAGUCCUUGAAAUAUCACAAAAGUAUUUGAAUGAAAUUGUCUCAUGAAAAAUCCCGAAAAACAUGCAAAAUGCAUGAGUUUAAGCCUAUAUGCAAUGUACUUUUAUAAAAUAAAGCUACAAAAUGGGUAAAUGAAAUGCACCUAACAGUGACAUUUGAGAAACCACAGAGACCAUUUUUGAUUCUUUUUUGAAAAAAUAAAUUAAUUUGCUUAAAGUAUGAGGGGAAGGUCGAACUCAUGACAUUUUUUGAAAAAAUAAAUUAAUUUGCUUAAAGUAGGGGGAAGGGUCGACCUCAUGGCCUCCACCCCUCUUUAUUUGACCAAAACCUUAACCAGUUGAGCUAAUUGCUUACUUGGUUAUAACACCCUAAAAUAAUUUAUAUAAUAAAAAAAAUGUUAACAUUUAAAUAAUAAAUUAAAAAACAAACAUUUUUUUACAUGACACUUUUUUUAAAUAAAACAAAAAGUAUUGUUGUCGUAUUAUAAAAAAAACUGUUUUUUACAAAUAAUUUGUAUGUAUUUUUAUGUAUUUAUUUUACGUAAAAUAUUUCUUUUAUUUCUUUAAAAAAUAAGUUUUCAUAUAAAAAAUAUGUUUUCGUAUAUUAUAAUUUUUUAUGUCUUCGAAAUAAUAAUAAUUAACACUAAUAUACAUGCAUUCUCGUGCUUUGCCACUUUGCACGCAACGACUUUCAAAGUCGCAUGCCCUGAUGUGAAACCCUCGCUCCUCAAACCGACGAGAAGAGAGACCCAAGUAAGAUCCACACACACGUGCGUCCCUCCUACCCAUCCAAAGGCCAAAAUGUUAGUCGGUCUAAGUGUGGAUCUUCCAUCAUAGGGGUCCGUCAAAAAAGUUAACUGACGCUUCAUUUUUCGCAGAAAAUACCUACCUGCCGACAAGUAUAAAAAAGAACAUCCUUAACCACAUCAUGUUUGUAUUUGAAACCAGAGAGCUCUCUACAAUGAACCGCAUGUUUUCCAAAGGUGUCCAAACAUGCCUUGCGGCAAACUGGACAUAUAUCGUCAAUUGAGAUAGAUAAAUCAUGAGGUGGUAACGAAUGAUAGAUAUAAAUGUUAUAUACUUUAAUUGAAAUAUGCCCAUGACCGACUGACCAAGUGAUUUAUCCAAAUUGAAAAUUAGAAUCGGUAAUUCCUAAUGUCUCGCAGCAUAUUCCAAUUUCCAAAUUCCAAUCACGAUCAAUUGAUCAUCUCAUCUGUCGAUUCGCUUCAACGCUUGGGCUUAGGCAAUUAGCGACUGAGUGACGAUUCGUGAGACACACGAAACUGUGAGACCGUCUCACAGAUUGCGAUUUGCGAGAAACCAAGAGUGAGAAAGACGAGAUUGCGAUUUGCGACUUCAUUACUUCAAUCGUGCAUUCGUUCUGUACCGUGGUUCUGUUUGAACCAAACGUCGCAGGCGGCAGCGGCACUCGGCAGGUCAGUAGGUCACUCAUGAUUACGAAACAGGGUUACAGGUUAGUGACUUUUUUUCUCCUUACUCCAAUCGUGCUUCUCAAUUCUCAUCUUUUGUUUGACAUGAUUUGCAUUACAGCGAAUUUAGGAUGUUGUUGUGCAGAUUAUUCUCAAUACACCAUUCCAAAUAUGUGUUUAUGAUUUUCCAAUUUGAUAUUGUUGUGUAGAGUGCAGACUCUGUGAUGUUCAUACUCUGUUUUUUAGAUUUUGGAUGAUGAUGAUGAAUUUAUGUUUAUAAUCAAUGUUUUUGUGUAGAUUGUAUGAUGUUUAGACUAUAUUUGAUGUUACAGAUUGUGUUUUUUUGUAGGUUUAGAUGGCUACACCAGAAAAUGAUAAACAACCAACCAUGAAUGAUGAAGAUGAACUUGAGGACAAUGAACAAGAAGCUGUAGAAAAUAAUGAACAAGAAGUUGUAGAAAAUAAUCCUAAAAAAAGGUUGAAAUCCGCUGCUUGGAACCAUUUUGAUCCGAUUUUUGUUGAUGGCAUCAAGUGUUUGUGAAAAACUGAAAUUGUUCUAUCAAGUGACUGAAAAAUUUUAUGAUACCAAAUAUCCCACAUCAAACAUAUUCUUCCCUUUAAUUUGUGACAUGAAACUAUCGUUGUCGAGUUGGAGCGUAUCAGAUAAUAAUGUUAUUAAGUCUAUGGCAUCAACUAUGUUGACCAAAUUUGAGAAGUAUUGGAAUGUAAUACAUAAUGUUAUGAGUGUAGCAAUUGUCUUAGACCCUAGGUAUAAGUUAAAGUUGAUCAAUUAUUUCUUUCCAAAGUUAUAUGGGAAUGAAGCAAGAAGUGAGAUUAUGCAAGUACGCAACAUAAUUACUGAGUUAUUUGAAGAGUAUAAAAAGAAACAUAAUGCAAAACAAGGAGCUUCUUGGAAACGACAAUGCGAAACAAACGUCUUUGAAGGAAGGGGUUCUAUUUUAAGUAAAUCAAUAUGGGAGUUGGAUUUCGAGAAUAUGCUUUAUGAGGAUGAUGGAUUGGAAAAAACCGAGUUGGAUGAUUAUUUAGCUGAGAAGUUGUUACCGAAUGAGGAGGGCUUUGACAUAUUAAUGUGGUGGAAGUGUAAUGGUUCUAAGUUUCCAAUAUUACAGAAGAUUGCUAGAGAUAUCUUAGCCAUUCCAAUUUCUUCAGUUGCUUCGGAAUAAGCUUUUAGCAUGAGCGGGAAUAAAGUGACAAAACAACGUAACCGACUCAAAGCGGAAACAGUUGGGGCAUUAAUGUGUAGCCAAAGUUGGUUACGGAAAGAACUUCAAGGUAAAUUUUUAAUACGUAUAUCAAUUGUUAUAUCAUACUUGUGUAUAGAUAUUAUUUUUUCUAAAAAUAAGUUCUAUAUGUUUCAGGUAAAAAGUAAGGAGAACCACAGGCUUUUGAUCAGACAAUUGCAUAUGAUGAGAAUGUUGAGUAAUUUUCAAAGAAAUAGAACCAAAGACUUGAAAUUUAUUUUGUUUAAUCAUGUUCUCGUUUUGAUGGUUGUUAAAUUUUAUGAUUGAUGUAAACAAUCUAAUUAUGAGAUAUGGUUUUGAUAGUGUAUUAAACUUGAUUUUUUUUGUGGCUUAAGUUGAUUUAUUAUGACAUAUGGUUUUGAACUUUUGAUAGCACGGGGAUGGGCCAGGGAUAAGCCCAAAAUCUAAAGGGAGAGGAUUAGAUUUCCCGCCUCUGUUGGGGAUGGGGAUGAGGAUGAGGAUAAGGUUAUAGACUCAGGGAUGGGGAUGGGGAUGAUAAACCCGCCCCAUCCCGCCCCAUUGCCAUCUCUACACAAAACUAAUGAUCUCCGAGACCGAGUUGAAAUUUUGAGAGGGGAUGCCACAUCCUUUGAGGAUCCAAAAGAAUACCUCCCGAAUAAAAUGAUAACUUGUCAAUAAAUGAUCGCUGAAGUGAACCCUUCUGACAAAAAAUACAAAGGCUAGAGGAUACGAUCCAUAUGGGGAUCCGGGCAUCUUUGUAGUUUUAUUUUAUUUAUGUUAAAAAAAAUUUGAUAGGGGUGAGCAAAAACCGCACCGCAACUAAAAUUAACCGCAAAAACCACAUAAACCGCAACCGAAAAACCGCAACAGCAAUAAAAACCGAUGGUGAGGUUUUCUGUUUUUCAAAAACCGCAAAAAAAACCGCACCGCACCGCAUAUAUUAUAUACAAUUUUUUUUAUCAAUUAUUAGUUUAUUAAAUAUAAAAAUAAGACAAGUUUCAUGAAUGAAAGACGGAUAAAAUAUUAGAAAACAAAAGUGUUAGUUUUUUUCUUAUGUUUAACUUUGAAAAACGAUGAAACUAGACAAUUUUAAGACAUUUAAGAUAUUAGUUGUUUGUGGUUUAAGUUAAAUAGUUAAUUGUCUUAUACCUUAUGGUUUUUUUUUUAUUACAAGUAAUAUGUUUGAAGUCUUAAAACUAUUUAAGCUCUAAAUUGAGGUUAAAAACCACAUAAAAUAACCGCACCAAAUCCAUGCGGUUAAUAACCGCAACACAAAAAAAAUAAAACCGCACCAAAAAAAUAACCGCACCAUGCGGUUUUGAAAAUGGAUUAACCGCAUUUGCGGCUAGUGGUGAAGUUUUGACUAAUAACCGCACCGAUACGGCCAAUGCCAAUCAGCUAUUUUUGUUUAAAUUUUAAUAAACGAUCAUCACAACCGUUCAGUGUUGUCUCCUUUUCAUGCCAUGUCAUCCAUCCGCGUGACAGCCAAGCCUCCAAUACAAUCGCAUUUAUCUGUCUUAUAUAAACUCCGUGCGAAACAAUUUCUUCAACAAAAGCAAUCAAUCGAAUUCCCCCAAAUUUGAAAACCUAGAAUUUUCGUUUCCGUUCUCGUUCUCAAUCUCCCAAAAAUCUGAUGGCUCCCAAGGCAGAAAAGAAGCCCGCCGAGAAGAAACCAGCGGAAGAAAAGAAAGCCGUGGCCGAGAAAGCGCCAGCGGAGAAGAAGCCAAAGGCCGGGAAGAAAUUGCCUAAGGAAGCAGGCGCUGCCGCCGGAGACAAGAAAAAGAAGAGAUCCAAGAAGAGCGUCGAGACCUACAAGAUUUACAUCUUCAAGGUGUUGAAACAGGUGCAUCCUGAUAUCGGAAUCUCAAGCAAAGCCAUGGGAAUCAUGAACAGUUUCAUCAACGAUAUAUUUGAGAAGCUCGCCCAGGAGAGUUCGAGGCUUGCGAGGUACAACAAGA
rnacentral:lncRNA from 1 species